rnacentral:rRNA from 1 species
UACGUAGGGGGCAAGCGUUGUCCGGAAUCAUUGGGCGUAAAGAGCGCGUAGGCGGCCCUGUAAGUCCGCUGUGAAAGUCAAGGGCUCAACCCUUGGAUGCCGGUGGAUACUGCAGGGCUAGAGUCCGGAAGAGGCGAGUGGAAUUCCUGGUGUAGCGGUGAAAUGCGCAGAUAUCAGGAGGAACACCGAUGGCGAAGGCAGCUCGCUGGGACGGUACUGACGCUGAGGCGCGAAGCGUGGGUAGCAAACAGG